GAUGAACGCUGGCGGCGUGCUUAACACAUGCAAGUCGAACGAUGAAGCCCAGCUUUCUGGGUGGAUUAGUGGCGAACGGGUGAGUAACACGUGAGCAUCCUGCCCCCUUCUCUGUGAUAUGCGCUGGAAACGGCGUCUAUUACUGGAUAUGUCCCGUCACCCCACGGUGUGCGGGUGGAAAGAUUUCUCGGUUGGGGAUGGGAUCGCGGCCUAUCCGCUUGUUGGUUGGGUUAUGGCUCACCAAGGCCUCGGAGGGUAGCCGGCCUGAGAAGGUGACCGGCCACAAUGGGAAUGAGACACGGCCCAGACUCCUACGGGGGGGAGGAGUGGGGAAUAUUGCACAAAGGGCGGGAGGCUGAUGGAGGAACGCCGGGUGGGGGAUGACGGCCUUCGGGGUGGAAACCUCUUUUAGCAGGGAAGAAGCGAAAGUGACGGUAACUGGAGAAAAAGCAACGGCUAACUACGUG
rnacentral:rRNA from 1 species